UGCUGAUGUCUUACUUUUUCAUUAUUCACACGGUUUAAAUGUUAAAGCGAUGAUUAACAGCGGCCUCAUUAUUAAACACAAGACUAUGAAAACGACCUGCUUACUUGUGAAGGGAACAAUAGCAACUUUUGUCUGGCUAGUGGAAGACAGCUAUGUGUAUGCUAAUAGUUACUGUGCAUACGGUAACGCCGCAUCACCAAAGAGUAACGUUAUGUUAUGCAAUAACACGAGGCAUAAUGUCUCAUUAGGCCUCCUUAAACACUGUGUUUUGUUUUAGAAAAAAUCUUUUGUAUUCAUUCAAAAGAUGGGAAAAUCAUGGUCCAAUCAGUUGCAUACAAAAUCUUUCUGUAUGAAUAGAAAACACAGGUAAACUAUAGCUAGCCUACAGUACUAAAUACUUGUCUCUUUUCUCCUCGUAGUUUCUGUCAACCCAUCCUAUCCCCAUCUGAGUCAUCUAAAUAAACCCAAAGGCACUUUUAAGAGUCAUCUAUCUAUCUAUCUAUCUAUCUAUCUAUCUCUAUUUGUUAACUGUUUGUUAGUCUGCCUGUUUGUCUGUAUUCGUUUGUUUGUUUGUUUGGUCUGUAUCUGUCUGUAUAACUAUGGACAGAUAUACCAUUGACCGCCCGAAUCCCCAAUACAAAGAGGGGAGGCGAAUGGCUGCUGAACUGAGGCAUGAGCAGAUUCUCGCUGAAGCCAGGAUUAGUGUUUUCAUCAUACUUUACUUGACAUGUCGGUGACGAAUUAUAUUAAAUGUUAGUAGAAAUAUGAGUGUGUAAGAUUUUAUACUUUUUUUUAUUAAACAAGGCAGUUGAGUAGUUAACAUCCAAGCAUGCUUAUGCCAUGUUUAGACAUGAUGAAAAAGGCCCAGAUGAUGCUGUCUUUGUAUCAGCAGUUAAUAAUAUGUGCUCUUAGAUCUAUGGAGAAGACUUCAGUAAACAAAUGAAGAAACUGAUGCCAAAUGCAGACCUUUCAUGACUGCAGUGCUUCUGCAUUAGUGAAAUAUGUAUGCAAAACAUUGAAGAGCAAGUUUUCCAAAUGUAACUGUCCUUAACUACAGAGGGGGAUACAUAUUAGGUAUAUUAUGGUAAGGGUCAGAUAGUGUAUAAAUCCCUCAAUGCAAUAGAUGUUGGGGUUUGCUUUAGUUUGUCACCUGUUUUUGAUUCUAGUACCUUUAACCACAUCAGUUUGACAAGACUGUUAUUUAUUAACACAUAGCAGCAGCAAAGCAGCUCAGAUCAGGAAACGGGCAUGCUCUGGAAGAGACUCGCCGUCAAAGAAGACAAGGCAACGGCAAGGCAAGCCCAGGGGGAGGUGUGGUGGUCGACGCAGAGCCUCAGCUACAGUGUCACAGCCUCCAACUGAGUGCUCCCUGUCAUCCAGCGUGGAACAUCUGCCUAGUUUACCCUCAGCAAGUCCUUUGAUGACAUUUGAAAAAUAUGGAGAGGCUCUCUGCUAUUUUAGCAUCAUGCCAUUCUGGUGAGCCUCAAAAAUGUUCAGCAACAUCCUGGUCUUGUCAUCAGCAGAAAGCCUCAGAGACCACACAACCUCCAAUGCCUCAUAGAGAAAGAGGCUGUUGGUCAUCCUCUGUGCUGCCUCUGCAAUGAGCCUGCUGUCAUUCGCUCUGAUGACCCUGCCUUUUUUGAGGGCCUCUUUGUGGCAAAAGACAGUGAAGUCUCCACAUUUACUGAGACCAUCCAAAAAGCAGUGAAAAAUGCAAGUAUUAUUGAUAAUGUGACAAAAUAGCUGUAUUACUGAAAUAUUACCGAAACUGAAUUGAGAGAAACACUGGCCUAUAUAGCAGACCCAAUUGCAUUCAUUUUACUGUGUUCAGCAAACAUCACGAUAAAGAAGAGACUGUACGACCAGGUGAUGCUAACAAUGCGACUGCAAGAGGAGAAGAACAUUUUGGUGCUGGAGAUGGCACAACAUUGCACAUGGUUGCAGAAGCAGGCAGAGGAGCUUGAGAACAAGGUGGCUGAGAAUGAACAGGGCAACAAAGGACUUUGCUGUCUCUUAGGUCCUGAGGCUUCUGCCCAUCUUCAUGUUGAGGACGAGGAUCAAAGUGCCCUCAGCAGUCCAGACACUAGUGACGACGAAGAGGAUAUCACAAUUUAGAUUGAUGCUGCAGGACAGACUGUGGUGAAGGACAUGGACUUGGAUCUGCCUGCCUCCCACUCUACACCUGCCCUGCUGCUGCAAUCAAGCCACCUGGUUUCCGCCAGCUCAUACCAAAUCUGCACUUAUGGUGCAUUCCAGACAACCUAUCUCGUUUUCUAUUUCAUAUGUGGUCAACAUGCGCCGUAUCCAUGGGUUUCGUAUGACGUCACACAGUGGUCAUGGCGCCAUCUUUCGGACCAAACGUCAACCUGUCAUCUAUAUUCUGUAUAUAUGUUUCAUCAAUAUACAGUCUCAUCUUCAUGUACUGUAAUCCAGGGGUGUGUUGACACCAAUAUUAAAUAAUAGGUUCACUAGAUCACAACAUGUUGUUUCAAAUAUUAUGUUGACAUUACUGAUGAAAUUUAGUCAGCUAAACUAAGUUUAAUUGUCAAUUUUUCUGACAUGACUAGUUGCAGUCAGACUCAAACCCCACUUCUUUCCAGGAAAAGGGAGAUAACAGCAGCAAAUCUACUCUUUAUUUUGAGAGUAGUAAUGGGAGAGAGUACUUCCUGUGAUUUCUUGUAAAGUGAAAGCCUUUCACUUCUGGUUACUUCUGCUUUUGGUCACUGUCUUCAAUAAAAC